GCCCUCCCUCUCAAGUCCAAGUUUUUUGAACAACUUGACCACUACUCCAGCAGACUGUUGGCAUUGGCAAGAUCCAAGAGAGGAACUGCAGGGGACAAAAUCUCUCCCAUCCUACACACGUUUGAUCGGGCCAAAGACAUCAAUCUGAAGAGAGAAUGUCUCCUAAAGGCCCUUAUCAUUGUUCUUGGGGAGGAUACUCGUGAUCUUGUCAAGGAGUUUGUGGACAGUCGGGAAGACGACCUUCAGGUUGAUUUGGAGCAGGUGACCAUGGCGGUAUUUUCCAUUCGACAAGAAGGAUGUGUCGAACUUCCUCCGGAGGACAUUGGUAUCGUUAUCGAAGGCGUAACAGUCUUAAAUGGACUCAGCUCUGUCCCAUCUGCUUGUGCCCUGCUGCUCGGCUUGAUCUACAUUCUCAAUCUUGCCUACCCUAAAAGCCUCCGUUACACUUUCGAGGUUUUCCAGAAAGUUUUUAUGGAGCUAGAUUCUCAGAAAAUGUCCCCAAAAGUUCAUACACUAUUAGGAAAACUGCAAAGUGCAGAUUAAUGGUCAUCUUAAGCCUAUGUACAUAUUUUUGCAUUCAGUGUUAAAAAAUUUUUAUAAAGCUGAAAGUGUUUAAGAAGUUUGAAAAAAGAAGCACUUUGUAAUCCUCCAGAACGUAACAGGACAGAAGUCUCCUGUUUUUUUUUUUUCUCUUCUUUAGAUUGGAUCGUUUAUUGCUGGCACAGGGCAAUCUGAACUGAACUGCAACUCUUGCAUGUGAUUAUAGUCAUGGAGGCUGUACAACUGUAAUGUUCUGUUGUGAGAUAAUUUGACGUUACUGUUACAAAUAAACAAUUUGCAG